CCUACGGGAGGCAGCAGUAGGGAAUCUUCCGCAAUGGACGAAAGUCUGACGGAGCAACGCCGCGUGAGUGAUGAAGGUUUUCGGAUCGUAAAACUCUGUUGUUAGGGAAGAACAAGUGCGAGAGUAACUGCUCGCACCUUGACGGUACCUAACCAGAAAGCCACGGCUAACUACGUGCCAGCAGCCGCGGUAAUACGUAGGUGGCAAGCGUUGUCCGGAAUUAUUGGGCGUAAAGCGCGCGCAGGCGGUUUCUUAAGUCUGAUGUGAAAGCCCCCGGCUCAACCGGGGAGGGUCAUUGGAAACUGGGAAACUUGAGUGCAGAAGAGGAGAGUGGAAUUCCACGUGUAGCGGUGAAAUGCGUAGAGAUGUGGAGGAACACCAGUGGCGAAGGCGACUCUCUGGUCUGUAACUGACGCUGAGGCGCGAAAGCGUGGGGAGCGAACAGGAUUAGAUACCCUGGUAGUCCACGCCGUAAACGAUGAGUGCUAAGUGUUAGAGGGUUUCCGCCCUUUUAGUGCUGCAGCUAACGCAUUAAGCACUCCGCCUGGGGAGUACGGUCGCAAGACUGAAACUCAAAGGAAUUGACGGGGGCCCGCACAAGCGGUGGAGCAUGUGGUUUAAUUCGAAGCAACGCGAAGAACCUUAC
rnacentral:rRNA from 1 species